GUUUUAAUAAUUUAAUUAAAAUAUUGAUUUUGUAAAUCAAAUUUAAGCUCAGCUUUUAAAACA
rnacentral:tRNA from 1 species